rnacentral:lncRNA from 1 species
GGAUUAGAAAUAACCACCAGUAGUGACUCCAGAGGAGCUGGCCGUCUGCAGAGGCUGGAAUGUCUUGACUACAGCUGCUGACCUGUUGCUGUACACUGCCGGUCCCCCGUGAUGUCAGCCCCAGGUGGUCUUGCUUCUUCUCCAGCUCCUGAAGAAGGUGUCAGUCUCUGAGCAGCCUGAGGAGACCAAACCCCAGGGAUGUUAACUUCCUUGUAUAAAACGAUGGAUCCACAAUGAGCCAUGUAAUUUCCCUCGUGCAUUUUCUGAGCCAGUGGUGGAUCAGAGAGCUAGAAGAGGCUUCAGAAGAUGCAUGAGUGGCGUCUCUUUCUUCCAACAGGGCUGCCUCUCUUAGCAAGGGGCAACUUCAGAUGGAAGGCUGCCUCCUGGCUGAAAGUGGGGAAAAGAGAAAUAAUCCGAAUACUUGGAAUUCCAAAAGUUGUGCUGUGCCAGGGAAACACAUACGAUAGAGCGUGCUGAAGUCAGUUCUCACCUUCCACCACGUGGGGUCCUGGGGACCAAACUCAGGUCAUCAGGCGUGGUGGUAAGCGUCUUCACCUGAUGACCCAUCUUGCUGGCCCCCAAGAAACGGGUUAAAACAAUACUGUUUCCUAGCACUCGAAGAGACUUUAUUGUUGAUUUUAUGGUUCCUGGCAGUCAUCCAGGUUGGGUUUCCCUCCCUUCAUUAAACCCCUCUCACACACACAAUGGUGUGUCUCCUAGGUGAUUCUAAAUUCUGUCAAGUUGGCAGGAUCAACCUUUGCGCCAUCUCUCCCUGUCACUCAUUUGCUGAGCACAAGCCUGCUUUGACUUUACCGUGGAUCCAAAUUUCCAAGCAAGAAGAGGAAGAGAACUUUAUAAGAAUGGUGAUGGAUUCUCAUGACUCAACAGGAGGCUGAACUGAGGGGUUUGGAUCCAUGUCUGUUUUCUUUCUGCCUUCAAAUGCUAGCAGCUAACAUACUGGCUUCCCUUCCUGCUGGGACACAGCCCCUGAAGUACCUUGCUGUGUUCAGAGCUUGGGCGUCUGGCUUCAAGAAACUGUCUACUGGUUAAAAGACCUAUAGCCAAAUGACUCUGGGCUAUGCUGUCACUGUCUCCCCUCUGGCAGUCUCAGGGCUCCUUGAUGAGGGGAGGAGCCAGAACCCCAUGCUGUUUUCCUUCCCUGGGGACACACUGAGCUCUGCCUCACUGAGCUCUGCCUCCUGCUCCAUCCAGGAAUUCUGAGACCCCAGCACAGCACUCUUGACCUUUUCAGGAGCCCUCCCUCACCCCUUGUGAUCACUGUCCUGUGAGCCUGGGGGUGCAUGAGCAAACACAGUGCUGUGUAGCUCUCUGAAGAGGGCAGGUUCAGGAGAUGGCAACCCCCAUAGGGUGACUACAUUGUUUCCAUUGCAUCCUGAGCAACAUGGUUGCAUAAUUAUUUUGGCAAAUUAUUUUGGGAAAACCGGUAUAUCCAGAGGCUCUCCUCCAUGUACAGAGCUGACACACUACAGAUAGAUUAUGGUUGGUUUUUGUUUGUUUGUUUGUUUUUGUUAUUUACUAUUUUAGGGGCCACCUCUAGGCCCAACGGGCCAAUUGGUUGUAGCCACAUAGUAGAGGCUUUAAUGGAACAUGGAAAGGGGCCUUCAAUCAGAGAGUUUCAACCAAGAGCACCAAGAGCAUGGGCUGUUUUCAGAAGUGGUAAGAAUCCUACGUCCUAGGCACUGGAGAGAUGGCUCAGCCGUUAAGAGCACUGACUGCUCUUCCAGAGGCCUUCAGUUCAAUUCCCAGCAACCACAUGACAGUUCACAGCCAUCUGUAACAGGAUCUGAUAUCCCCUUCUGGUACCUCUGAAUGCAGGGACAGUGUACAUAGAUACAUAGAUACAUAGAUACAUAAUAUAUAUAUAUAUAUAUAUAUAUACAUAGAUACAUAGAUACAUAGAUACAUUAUAUAUAUAUAUAUAUAUAUAUAUCUCCUAUGUCCUUAGCUUGUGAAAGUGGUAUGUUAUAUAUAGAUGACACUGGCACUUCAGGCAGACACUAGAGUUAAGUGACUGCAGCUGGCCUGUGACUGUCAUCAGAAACACCUGCCCUCUUUACCCAGUCUUUGGGUUAGAGUUAGUAGCUUAUUUCAUACAUGGGACAAAAUCCUCCCCAUCUGACUCAUAUGUAUAUAAACAUACACACAAACAUACAUAUAUAAACAUAUAUAUAUAUAUAUAUAUACACACACAAACAUAUAUACAUACAUAUAUAGACACACACAAACAUUCAUACAUAUAUAAACAUACACACACAUGCAUACAUAGAUACAUAUAUAAACAAAUAUAUAAACAUACAUAUGUGCAUACAUCCAUGAGUUAAUAACAAGAUGUGGAACAGGACUGCCAGUAAAUAGUGGGAAAUAGGAAACCUCCCCCUCUAGCAUAAAGAAGUGCUCUUAUAUAAACAAUUCAUCUUAUAAUGACUG